UGAAACAGGUGGCGGCUUCUUGUUUGGCGACACACCCGGAGGCUUGCUGAACGAUCCAGACUGUCCCUGAAGUGACGGACUUGGAAGAUCACAGUGGGAACCUUGGUUCUGCACUGGUCCUUCUUCAGCACUGGCUGGCACUGAAGCUGUCAAAAUAGAAAGGCAGACAUCUUCUUUGAUGUGUAGUCUGGAUGGACAGAUGGCUGUCUACUGCACCAUUUAGAUGGAAAAUGGCACUAACACAGGAUAACACACUUAUGGGAUUGACAGAGACCAUGAAGAAGCAGUAAAUGGCAAGCAUAUCUGUGCAAAUUAACAUUGAUAUCUAAUAUGGACCCCACCCCCACCAAGUGAGUACAACCUAAUUAUGAGAGAUGCAGGUGGACCUGAUAGGCAUGACCUGAAGCUUAUAAGGUAAAAACCACCACACCAAGGGAAUCUGCACCAGAGGGAAUUCUAUUAACAAGAUCAGAAUCAAGACUCUCUCCCUAAUAGCCACCUCCAAAGGCAGAACUGCUAAAGAAAGACCAAAGUUGCAGAUCUCGGUUUACAGGUUGAUUCAUAAGGGAAUGUCUCCAUCCCAGGCCCAAUUAGGGUUUCAUGCUUUCUGUGCUAAUUGGCCUGUGCAAUUUACAGUGUGUACUGAAUAAAUAUGUCACUCUGUACACUCUGACUACUGUACACUGAACCAAAUGUAGUAUCCAAAUCAUUUUUCAAAAGCAGCUCCACAUACCAGUAUCUGUACCAAGAUCCUUGCUUUCUAAAAUUGAAUAGAAUUGGUGUAUUAACAUCAGUGGAUGAAAUGAGCUUGUUGGGGGGGGGGGGUUGUGCUGAGGAUAUCACUUGUGCAUCCAACAGCAAAGCUAGAUCUAGAAGCACACCCAAUCUUUUGUGACAUUUUGGUUAUCCUUAAUAAAGAUAUUAUCCAACUAGGCUCUUUUUCUCACUUACUAGCUCAACUAUUUUUGUUUCAUUUUUAUUCUUAUCAGUAGUCCACUCACAAAAAAGCAAACAUUGAAUUUAGGCUUAUCUGUGAAACAGUCCACAGUAAAGAUAUACAUAUUAGCUUUGUCCAUCAACUUCAAAAAGGAAUUAGAGGGGCACAGAUUUCUUUGAAUGACUUUCAAUAUAAUGGCUCCAAAUACGUUUUUAAAGUAAAAGAAAGUGACUUAUUUUGUCAGUCUAUUUACCUGUUUUUCCAAACACUGUCUUUUAUUGUGUUUCAGCUUAUCGGUUAAUCAAAGAGCCUAAGGAGUGUGCAUUCCCCAAAUCUGAAUAUUAACAAAACAAGCUUCCUGAACUAACCAGAUCAGAAUGGAAUAUUACCAUAAACACAAAAGGACUCUGAACCUGUGUGGAGUUUUUUCCAUGUGUGUUCCUACAGUUCUUCUAAUAGGUACACACACAUAAGACAGAUGCUGAACAAUAGAAAAGGUUCCCAUAUUUGAGAAUGUUCCAAUUUGAGACCAUUUGAGGCCUGUUGCAUCCCCUUGCAUCACAAGCAUUUAGCUCACAAGGAAUAAUAAUCAUGUCUGACAAAAAUGUCUUUAUUUCAGGGAAUGCACACAAAGUACACAUGUCCCACAUGAACCUGAAGAGGGGGCCUGAUCCUGUCCAGCCAUCCUAAUGGAGAGUCCUUCUGAUUUCGGAAGACCUCAACUAAUGCCCAUCUCAACAAGGAUCACCCUUGUGCUUACUAGCAUUUUACAACUGACACAGAAAAGGCAAAACAGCCCUUCAAGCAAUGUUACCAAACCUGUGGAGCCUGCAGAGUUUGUAAGAGACGCCCAACUUUCCCUCAAGAACCCACUCAAAGGUCAAGCUGGAGCAACAACCUCCACCGGGCUGGACUCUCCAGUUAGACGGGAAAUAAAGAUGGCUGCAUUUCUGAAUGGAAAGUGGGGUACACAAAAGGUGUUAUCAAGGCAGCUAUAAGUGUAAGAUCUCCUGCAAUCGCUCUCUCUCUUUCCUAUAAACAUACACAUAUAAAGUGGCAUCACUAAGGGAGUGCAAUGAGUGCAAGCUUACAGAAUGCCCCUUCAUCACCAUCAAAGGGGAUGAUAUCAAAAUGACUAUAACAGUUUUAUGUGGUGAUAUUGCCAGCCAGCCUGGUGUACUGCAGUGCUUUGAACAUUGGACUAUGAUUCUGAAGAAGAGUCCAAGUAUCUGCUCAGCCAUAUAAACUCACUGGAUGAUCUUGGACAAGUCACUUUUUCAGCCUUAGAGCAAGGCAAAGCUAAAAGCCUUCUGAACAAAUCUUGCCACAAAAACCUUGAUAAGGUUUCCAUAAGCUGGAAACAACUUGAAGACACACAACUAAAGUAAUUAUGGUUCAAUCUGGUAACAGGAUAGGUCCAUGGGUUACUGGACCUGGGUGGGUGGACACAUUCACACUCAAAGCCACUGAAGGGGCUGAGGAGGUGCUGGGUGAAACCCAAAGCCCACGCAUGCCCUUUCUAAUGGUGACACCAACCACAAUGCCACUGCAGAUGCAUCCACACUCACAGCCACUCAGGGUUCCGGGGCACUAUGUGACACCAGCCUUCAUGUCUCCAUUGCAGCCAGAUCCACACUCAAAGCCACUGGUAGAUGGCAGAAGCGCUGAGGGAGACCCAAAGGCCAAUCUCUUCUGCAGUGGAGGACACAAGGUGGCCUCAACCCUAAUGAUGCCACUGGAGAAUCAUUCUGGGUCCACGGAGUGAGAGAAUCGAGGCCUGAGACCCUCAGAGAUGGCAUCCAGUGACACUUAUUUUAGUGAUGCCACUACAAACGCAUUCACACUCGAAGUUACUGGAGGACUAAGGAAGCAAAACCUGAGCUCCUCUCCAGUGGUAGGCCAAGGGUGCCGCCAACCCGAGACACCAUGGAAAGCACAUGCAUGUUCAGAAUCACUGAGGGGUUACAGCCAGACCCAAAUCCCCUGCAAGCCCCUACACUACAACACUUAAGGAAAGAGUUAAAAACUUGGUUUUUCCAGAAGGCACUGAUAACGUUUAGACAGUAACCAGAACUGAUUGCCAGUCACUUAGCAUGUUAUGCCUGCAUUGUGUGCAUUCAGCUGAGCUGCUAUAGUAUACUGAUUACAUGGAUUUUUUUAACUGAUUCUAUUUUAAUAGUGGUUGUUUUAUCCAAUUUAGAUACCUGGUUCAUGUAAUGUUAUUAUUGUUUUCAUGUUGAUGUAUUUUAUGUAUUAUGUAUUGUAUGUAUGGCAUCUUUGUGUGCUAUUUUGCAAGCUGUUCCGAAUCCCUAUGGGUGAUGGGGGUGGGGUAUAAAUUAAUAAAGUUUUAUUAUGAUUUAUUAUAAAGCCCAAUCCCCUCUUCUGGAAUGACAUGAUGCCAUUACAGACGCUCCACACACAAAGGCACUGGAGGUUACUGGAUCAUGGUCAAAAACCACAGCCCAAACUCCCAUCAGAUGACAUCCACCCUCUUCAUGCCAGUCUUGGUGACUCCAUUACACACACAUUCCCACUCAGUGCCAAUUAGAAGAAGUGGAGGGGGGAGGGGGUAAAAGGGCCCAGGUCACGUCCCAAUGCCCACUCUCCUCUCUAGUGGAAGACGGCCCAGAAACUGCAAUUGGUGCAAAUAUCGGCAACCAGGCUGUUAACAGAAGAUAGCUACAGGGAGCAUACAACGCCUCUCCUGAAGCAGCUCCACUGGCUGCCGAUAACUUACCAGGUCCCAAUUCAAAGUGAAAGUUAUGACCUAUAAAGCCCUAAACGGCUCGGGUCCUGCUUACUUGUGUGACCGUAUCUCCCCCUACGAACCAGCACGAGCUCUUGCAUCCACCGGGGAGGCUCUUCUCUCGCUCCCGCCUCUGUCACAAACACGACUGAUGGGGACGAGGGAGAGGGCCUUUUCGGUGGUGGCCCCCCGGCUCUGUAAUUCUCUGCCUAGGAAGAUUAGAUUAGCACCUACCCUGGCCACACUAUGCAAAAAUUUGAAGACUUGGAUGUUCCAACGUGCUUUCAAACAGUAGGCCCGUUUUUAUCACCAUCCAAUCUUAACCAUUUACUGUCCUAACCCUCGGCACUUUACCCUAUUCCUGAAUCUCACUGCCUUACGUUUUUGCACAUGCCUGCCUUCCCUGUAAUUUCUCAGUAGUUCCACUGUUUAGUCCUGAUGUUCGCUGAUGUAUUUUAUGAAUGUUAUUUUACUGUUAUUGCUUUUCAUUAUAUAUGCUGUGGUCGUAUGGUUUUAUCCAGGGGUCCCCAAACUUUUUAAGCCGAGGGCCGGUCCACAAUCCUUCAGACUGUUGAGGGGCCGAAUUAUCAUUUGAAAAAAAAAACGAACAAAUUCCUAUGCACACUGCACAUGUCUUAUUUGUAGUGCAAAACAACAACAACAACAAUGAAAGAAAAAUACAAUAUUUAAAAAUGAAAACAAUUUUAACCAACAUAAACCUAUCAGGAUUUCAAUGGAAAGUGUGGACCUGCUUCUGACCAUUGAGAUAGUCAAGUUAAUUAGGGUUGUUGUUGUUGUUGUGUGCCUUCAAGUCAUGUCAAACUUUGGGCGAGCCUGAGUCUAAAAUUAUUCAUUUAUUUAUUUACUACAUUUAUAUCCCGCCCUUCUCACCCCGAAGGGGACUCAGAGCAGCUGUAUGUACAUACAAUAUAUUAUAUUAUUAGCAUAGCACAAUAUUAGCAUUAUAUAUUACUAUACAUUGAACUAAUAUUACACUAUACUGUAGUAUUAUAUGUAAUAUAUAACAUAUAAUUUAAUAUUAUUAUAUGGUAUUAGUAUUAUUAUAUUGUAUAACAUUAUAAUAUUUUAUCAAUUUUAUAUGUAUAUAUAAUAUAUUAUAUUAUAAAAUGGAGGGUUGGGGCCAGGUAAAUGACCUUGGAGGGCCGCAUCCGGCCCCCGGGCCUUAGUUUGGGGACCCCUGGUUUUAUCUGUUGGUUGGGCUUGAUCCCCAUGUGAACCGCUCGGAGCUGUGCCCGCUAUGCGUUGCUGUGGCGUCGUCCUAAGUGGGUUUUUGUUUGUGGAUGCAAGUCUGAAUGUUGUAAUUAGUCACCUUGAUUAGCACUGAGUGUGCUUGCAGUUUCAAAGCAUGCUUGUUUCCUCUCUGGGGGAAUCCUUUGUUGAGAGGUGUUAGCUGGCUCUGGUUAUUUCCUGUCUGAAAUACCCUUAUUUUCAGAGUGUUGUUCUUUAUUUACUGUCCAGAUUAUCGGUUUUUUUUAAUGCUGGCUGCCAGGUUUUGUUCAUUUGAUGGUUCCCAGGAACCCAAUAAUAAUAAUAAUAAUAAUAAUAAUAAUAAUAAUAAUAAUAAUAAUAAUGACUUGCUGUCGGCAAGUGAUUAGAAAUUUUUGGUCUUGGGGGUUUUCUGUAAUUUGGACCUAAUUUUAUAGGGGGUUUUUUUUUGGUGAAAAGACAGAUUGGAUAACUAUGUCUUCUGUGGCCAUAUUUGGUGUGAUUUGGUCCAGUGGUUUUGUUGUGUACUCCAUGAGAAUUACGCACAUUACAUAUACAGUAGAGUCUUCACUUAUCCAACACUCGCUUAUCCAACGUUCUGGAUUAUCCAACGCUUUUUUGUAGUCAAUGUUUUCAAUACAUCAUGAUAUUUUGGUGCUAAAUUCAUAAAUACAGUAAUUUCUACAUAG